GACACGCUGGCGGCGUGCUUAACACAUGCAAGUCGAACGGGAGUAUUGAAGAAGCUUGCUUUAGAGAUACUUUAGUGGCGGACGGGUGAGUAACGCGUGAGGAGCUGUCCUAUGCAGGGGGACAACAGCUGGAAACGGCUGCUAAUACCCCAUAAGCCGAGAGGUAAAAGGAUCAAUCCGGCAGAGGAGGUACUCGCGUCCUAUCAGCUAGUAGGUGAGGUAACGGCUCACCUAGGCGAAGACGGGUAGCCGGCCUGAGAGGGCGAACGGCCACACUGGAACUGAGAUACGGUCCAGACUCCUACGGGAGGCAGCAGUGGGGAAUAUUGGGCAAUGGGGGAAACCCUGACCCAGCGACGCCGCGUGGGUGAAGAAAUCCUUCGGGAUGUAAAGCCCUGUUGUAUGGGAAGAGCGGAAGACGGUACCAUACGAGGAAGCCCCGGCAAACUACGUG
rnacentral:rRNA from 1 species